UACGGGGGGGGCAAGCGUUGUUCGGAAUUACUGGGCGUAAAGGGCUCGUAGGCGGCCAACUAAGUCAGACGUGAAAUCCCUCGGCUUAACCGGGGAACUGCGUCUGAGACUGGCAGGCUUGAGUGCAGGAGAGGAACGCGGAAUUCCAGGUGUAGCGGUGAAAUGCGUAGAUAUCUGGAGGAACACCGGUGGCGAAGGCGGCGUUCUGGACUGUUACUGACACUGAGGAACGAAAGCCAGGGGAGCAAACGGG
rnacentral:rRNA from 1 species